UCCCUGGUAGUAUAUCGGUUAGUACACGCGCCUGUCAUUGGGCCGCGCGAAAGCGGGGUUCGACUCCCCGCCAGGGAG